rnacentral:ncRNA from 1 species
CUAGCUAGCACCGCAAGGUUUCCACCGCAGGUGGAACAGACUCUCGCGCCUCGCCAAGGCGAGGCGCGUCCGGCUCCGCCGGAUUUUGCUAACCCGCCGGUGCAGUCACCGGC